rnacentral:rRNA from 1 species
UAGGGAGCGAGCGUUAUCCGGAAUUAUUGGGUGUAAAGGGUGCGUAGGCGGUAAUAUAAGUCUAAGGUUUAAGGCUGGAGCUCAACUCCAGAUCGCCUUAGAAACUGUAAUACUUGAGUAUGGUAGAGGUAAACGGAAUUUCUAGUGUAGCGGUAAAAUGCGUAGAUAUUAGAAGGAACACCAGUGGCGAAGGCGGUUUACUGGGCCACCACUGACGCUGAGGCACGAAAGCGUGGGGAGCAA